AGCCUGCUUCGAGAUGAGGACUCCCACCCACUUGAUGGGGUAAGGCUCCCAGUAGACGACUGGGUUGAUAGGCCGGAUCUGGAAGCCAGGUAACUGGUGGAGGUGACCGGUACUAAUAGGCCGAGGGCUUGUCCUCAGUUG
rnacentral:rRNA from 1 species